rnacentral:rRNA from 1 species
UACGGAGGGUGCAAGCGUUAUCCGGAUUCACUGGGUUUAAAGGGUGCGUAGGCGGCCCUGUAAGUCAGUGCUGAAAUAUCCCGGCUUAACCGGGAGGGUGGCAUUGAUACUGCAGGGCUUGAGUAAAGUUGAGGUUGGCGGAAUUGACGGUGUAGCGGUGAAAUGCUUAGAUAUCGUCAAGAACACCUAUUGCGUAGGCAGCUAACUAAGCUUUAACUGACGCUGAGGCACGAAAGUGUGGGGAUCAAACAGG